UAGUGGGAAAGGGGGAUUUCAUUCAUAUUUUAUUUGGGUGAAUUUUAGUGAAAAAUGGAAGAGAUGUUGUCAUCUUUAUUUCAUACCAAUUAAAAUAAAAUAAAAUAAAAAUUAAAAGAAAAUAAUAAAAAAGGGGAAACUUACCAAUUAUUUUCCUUAGGCUAUUAUGGGUAGAUUAGAAUAAUGAGGGGAGGAAAAAGAAAGAAAGUCAUUAUGCUCCAUUAAUGCCGUCGGCCUAGAGAGAGGGAGAGAGAGAGGGAGAGAGAUGUGUUCUAGAGAGAGAAGGAGAGAAAGAGGAGAAGAAGGAGAAAAAGAAGAAGAAGAAGGGAUCAAUCCUAGGGUAUGCCUCUUUAUAUUUAUGUUUUAUAAUUUCCCUUCUUUUGAUUCUAGUAUUUUGAUUAGAGUUUGUUUGUGUUGUUGGUUUUCUUCUUCUCUUCAUGUGGGUUUUCGAAAAACCCUAGGCUUGAACAAGGGGUGAUAUAGUUGAGUAUUGGUCACUUGGGUGUUCUUGAUUUUACAAUUAAGAGAGCUAAUGAACCCUUAGCCUUUUUUUUUUUGUAUUCUUGAUUUACAUGAGAUGAUGGUAUAAUGAUUUGUUUCUUGUUGAUUUUGGGUGAGCUGGUUUGUUGUAAGAAGCAUGGAAAUAAUUGAUGUUGUGACGCCUAUGUUUUCUCCCUAUAAUAUGAUGCUAUGGUUUAUUUUAAGGUGUUGUGUAAAAGCAUGCAAGGUUUUUAGUUUGUGAACUACUAAAUAUGAUGAUGAGUUUGUGGUUUAAUGCAUGAAGGGAUUUGAUUUUGAUUUGCUAAGUAUGAUGAUAUUUUAUGUUUGGGUGUAUGUGGGUUUCGGCUUAUGCAUGCACUACAAGAAAUUCGCCAUUUACCUACCAAUUUCUUACCUACCUAUAUUUAUUGGUAUGUAAAUGUUAAUUUUACCUACCAAUAUUUAAUGGUAUGAACUAUUAGUAGGUAAAAAUUGAAAAAAUGUUAUAAUAUUUUAAAUUUAUGUUUAGCUGUCAAUAAAAAUUGGUAGGAAAAAUGUUUACCUACAUAUAUAUAUAUUGGAGGGAAAAAAUUCAGCAUUUGGAGCCUUUUUUUCCCUCCAAUUUUAUUUUAAUUUUUAACUUUUAUUAAAAUAAGUGUUGAUGUGUCCUUGUGUCAAUUCACAUAUCAUUAUAUCACAAUUUACAAAAACAUUAAAACUUAACUUAAAUAUAAUAUUUUAAAGCAAAACUUAAUAUAAACUUAUCUCUCAAAUCCCUCCUCACUUAACCCCUUCUCCGAACCCUAACCUCACUCUGCUCUUCUCUCUCAAACCCAGCCGCACCUCUGUGUUCUUGUUCUCCCUCAAACCCAGGCAAACCCAAGCGUUACUCCUUCCUCUCCUCCUCUCCUCAGCCGCACGAGAACUCCCUCACUCAGCCGCACGAGUACUCCCUCCUCUCCUCCUCUCCUCAGCCACACGAGAACUCCCUCCCUCAGCUGCAUGAGUACUCCCUCCUCUCCUCAGCCACACCACUCUCUUCACCGCACCUGCCACACCACCCAUGUCGAUGAUUGCUCAGCCGCCGCCUCGAAAUCUGAAUAGUUGCCUCGGUUGCUAAGUUGUCUCAGCCCCUGCAGUCUUCUCCAUCUUUGAACCGCUGCCUCCAUGUUUGAAUUUUUGAAUCUUUGUCUCAACCCCUGAAAUAGCUACCCGAUUUCAAUUAUUUUUUGCAGGGGCACAUAUUGUGAUUGUGAUUUUGUUUUGACAGAGAUUGUUGGCUUGGUGGUUUGGUGGCUUUGAGUUUCAUUGUUGGCUGGUUGGCUUUGAGGUAUACUGUUAUGAUUCGUUUUGAUUAAAUCCCCACUGUUCUGAAGGAUUAAUGAUGAUGAAUUGUUUUGAGGCCUUUUCAAGGAUUAAUUUGUAUUUACUUGACUUAGAUUUAUGGUUUCGGGAAUUUGUCUUUUGACUGCUUUGCGUUUCAUUGUUUUUGAGUUGUGUUUUUGUUCAGUCUUUAAGGGUGUUUCACUGUCUUAAUCUUUAUUAGUUUCAUAGUUCUUAGGGUUUGAGUUGUGAAGUUUUGUUUUUUGUUUGAUGAUGAUGCAUUGUUCUGUGGCCUUUUGAUUGUUAUUUGCAGUGUGUAUUUAGUAUAUGACUUAGAUUUAUGGUUUUGGGAAUAUCUGUUUUGUCUAUUUAUGCCAAGUCUUUGAAUUUCAUUGUUUUAAUACAGUGUAUGUGUUUCAUUGUCUUAAUGUGCUUUAUUUUGUUUCAUAGUUCUUAGGCUUUGAGUUUCAUUGUUCUAAUACAAUAUAUUUUUUUGGAGUUGUGUUUUUGUUUAAAGACUUUGGCAUUGUUUUACUGCAUUAUUUUAACUGUACAAUGUCUGCUGAAUACAUCAUUAUCUCAUAUUCCAUCCUUUUUUUUUUUUAUGUUCAAGAAUGAGUAAUUUUUGGCUAUCAUGAUUUAUGUUCUAAGGAAAUGUCAUUUGGUUUCAAGUUUUGUUUUUUGGUUUCAUGUUUGAAUUAAUUUGUAAACUUUACCAUUGUGAUUAUUACUGCCUUUCUAGAAUUUUUCAAUGCUGAAGUUAAAAAUUAGAUUUUGGUCAUUGAUGUUCAACAACUGAGUAUUUUUUGCCUCAGUCGUGUUUUGUAUUCCAAAGAAAUGAAGCUUUCCUUGGUUUUAUGCUUGCCUUUUUUCUUUUUUGGCCUAUGAUGUUAGAAAAUAGUGAUUAUUAUGUUGGUGAUGAUGUGACUUCUUGUGCUCAUAUUUAUAUAUAUGCUGGUAUAUCAAGUCAUAUAAAUGCCCUUAAUAAUCGGUCUAUUAUAAAAAUUAUAAAAUCCUUGUGAUGAAUAAAGUGGGGAUAUUUUAUUUGUAAUAAUUAAAAUUAUGAUGUAAUAAUGUAAUAAUUGAGAUUAUGAUGUAACAUUGUAUUAAUUUUGAAGAACAAUAAAGUUUAAAUAAUUAGAAUAUAUAUAUAUUUUAAGUUUAUCAUUAGUUGUACAAGGUUGCAUGUUUCAAAAGCCAUUGUCCACCUCCCAAAGUCAUCAUCGACAUUCACAAGUUCAGUUAGAGAAAAAGGAGCCUCUCGUGCAAUAAUCCCAAAGUGAAGAAUAUCAAUAAAAUGACAUUAUUGAGUUUGUAAUGACUUGUAAUAUACUUGAUAUUUUUUUAUGA